ensembl:lincRNA
AUGGAGUGUCGGUUCGGGGAGGCAGACCGGGACAAACCCAAGGUCUGGUGCAAGCAGAACACCACGCAGUGCUGCUCGGGCUUCGCGGUGUCCAGCGCGGAGGAGAGCCUGUACGGCGGGCAGGUGACCAUCCGCGUGCUGCGGGACCAGAACAAGUUCACCGUGUCCAUCGCGCAGCUGCCCGAGGGCGAGGGGCGCUACUGGUGCGGCGUGCUGAACCCCGACAACACCAUGGUCAAGCUGGGCGAGGCGGACUUCUCCGACGGUGAGGUGCCGGUGUGGGACAUCCUGCGCUGGGCGCUGCUGGCCGCCCUGCUGCUCAGCUCUCUGUCCAGCAGCCUGUACGCUAAACGUGAGUCCCGCUCGCCUCUCCGAGCACCGGCUGCACAGAUACUGACAGUGUCCGUGUCCGGCGCUCUCUAACCCAGCACGGCUUCUUGUCUCUUUCUGUUACAGGGAGAACCGGGAAAGAAAAGAGGGACGAAGCCCCCUACGAGGACGUACAGAUGAUCAAUCUCAGCGCCAAACACGACUAGGGACCCCGUGACGUCACCCCGCGGCCCGCGGUGAUGCCGGCGGAAUGAAGGGCGAGCUGGGAAAUGGGAGAGGGGUGGGGAGGGGAGCAGGCUACCCUGGUAACGUUCAUCACUGGACAGAUUUGGGGUGGUAGUGUAAAACAAGGACUCUGUCGGUCCGCCUCUAGUUGUAUAUAUGUAAAUAUAUAUAUAUAUUACGCAGAGUAAACAAAGUUAAGCUUCCAGUAAAUUAUAAGUCGGACUCAUUUUCUAUGUAACUGUGCACGUUUAACGACAUCAGCUGAUAAAAAUCUCUACUUCUUAUUUUUUUAUAUUGGUUAUAUGUUACUUGCCUCCACAGAUAGGAAAUGUAUAAAACGAAAUUUAUGAGCAAUAUUCUGAUUCCGUCUAGGAAACGUGAUGGGUGCACUUGCGCCGGCUUCCCACCAGGGGGCAGCAUCGCUCUAAUGCUGAAUUUCAUUUCUUUCUUUAAUGUCCGUUUUUAUUUUUCCGUGCUGUAGCUCAUAUGGAUGGCCCACUGUCCUGCCUGCUGCCUGCAGCUCCAGGGUCCUGGGUUGGUGCCUGUCUGUGUGGAGCUGGCGUGUUCUGUCUGUGUUCAGUGGGUUUGGGCCGGGUCUCACCGCCCACAGACAAGCACAUUAGUCUGGACUGGCUGCGCUACACUCUCCCCCUGCGGUUUCUCCUGCACAGAAAAACGCUGGCUGAUCCCCUCCAGCUGCAGAGUCUCCUCAGGGCUCGCUGUGCUCUGCAAUGGCUUCUGAGCUCUCAGUUGUCUAAUCGGUCCUUUAAUUGAAAUUUUGAUUUGAUUCAUUUGAACGCUUCACUUUACAAUUCCAGAUGUUAACAUUUUAAACUUUUACUGUUUUUACAGGCAAUUUGAAGCUGUCAAUUGCUUCAAAUUGCUGUCAAGUAAAUCUUGAGCUGCUGAAAACAACAAUUGCAUCCUCAAAGAGCAAAUGUCCACUGCUGCAAUCUGAGUUCCUCCUAAUAAAAAGGUCACUGAGAUCUCCAGGUGUUGCUGUCUGAUUUCCGAUGUCUGCGAUGCCUCCUCCACAGUGUGCUCUCGAUGGGAAUGCUGUGCUCUCUCUGCAGUCUCUUGCUCACUGAAGAGCAGGGUUCCCGGGACCACAGAGCUGAGCAGAGCUGCCCCAAGGCCUUCAAGAGCAGCAGUGGGCUGCCCCAGGUGAUCAGACCUAUUAAAUAACCAGUCCAGUUUCACCUGCUGCCCUUGAAGGCCAGAGCUGCC